AAUAAUAAGAAAAAAGAAGCAGAACAAGAAGAAAGGGAGGUGGGUCCAAAGGAGUAUGUAUAUAUUGUUUCGUGUGUUUUUUUUUGUGAAGCUUGUAUUUUUGUUU
rnacentral:ribozyme from 1 species